UACGAAGGGUGCUAGCGUUGUUCGGAAUUACUGGGCGUAAAGCGCGCGUAGGCGGCUUAACAAGUCAGGGGUGAAAUCCUGGGGCUCAACCCCAGAAUUGCCUUUGAAACUGUUAAGCUUGAGUGUCGGAGGGGAUAGCGGAAUUGCUAAUGUAGAGGUGAAAUUCGUAGAUAUCAAGCGGAACACCGGUGGCGAAGGCGGCCUUCUGGACAGUGACUGACGCUGAGAUGCGAAAGCGUGGGGAGCAAACAGG
rnacentral:rRNA from 1 species